UUCCGGUUGAUCCUGCCGGAGGCGACCGCUUUGGGAGUUCGAUUAAGCCAUGCGAGUCGUGAGUCUUAGGGACUCGGCAUACUGCUCAGUAACACGUGGAUAACCUGCCCUAUCGUCUGGAAUAACCUCGGGAAACUGUGAAUAAGGCCGGAUAGUUCACAAUGCCUGGAACGGUUUGUGAAUCAAGGUAGGAUGGGUCUGCGGCGUAUCAGGUUGUAGGGGGUGUAAAGGACCCCCUAGCCUUCGACGCGUACGGGUGUUGGGAGACAUAGCCCGGAGAUGGAUUCUGAGACACGAAUCCAGACCCUACGGGGUGCAGCAGGCGCGAAAACUUCACACUGCAGGAAACUGUGAUGAGGGAACUCCUAGUGCAUGCACUAUGUGUAUGUAGAUCCUACUCUUAACAAGUAGAGGGAAAGGGCUGGGAAAGACCGGUGCCAGCCGCCGCGGUAAUACCGGCAGCUCAAGUGGUCGUCGCUUUUAUUGGGCCUAAAACGUCCGUAGCCUGUUUGGUAAAUCUGUGGGUAAAUCAAUCCGCUCAACGGAUUGAAUUCUGCAGAGACUGCCAGACUAGGGACCGGGAGAGGUGUGGGGUACUCGAGGGGUAGGGGUAAAAUCCUGUCAUCCUUCGAGGACCACCAGUUGCGAAGGCGCCACACUGGAACGGAUCCGACGGUCAGGGACGAAGCCUAGGGGCACGAACCGGAUUAGAUACCCGGGUAGUCCUAGGUGUAAACGCUGUGAACUUGGUGUCGGGGGUCCGCAAGGGGUCCCCGGUGCCGGAGUGAAGAUGUUAAGUUCACUGCCUGGGGAGUACGGUCGCAAGGCUGAAACUUGAAGGAAUUGGCGGGGCAGCAC
rnacentral:rRNA from 1 species